UGCUUCUCUCUGUCUCCCUUCCUCUCUGAAAGCAAUAAAAUACAUUAAAACAUUUUUUUUAAUUAGAAAAUUUUAAAGCCCUGGGGAAGAUCCCUCGGGCCACCAGUACUAGCGCAUCCUAUGGCCUUUGAUCUCCUUUCUCUGGACAAGCCCCACAGCGAAUCCAGUCAGAACUCCAGGUGGUGAGGGCCCUGGGCUCUGGGCUCCUGCUGGGGUCUGCGCAGGGAGGGCUGGAGGGCCCAGCAUCCCAGGAACUCACUGUGCUCAUCCGCAUCCAGUCGCCUCUAGUCCUUUGACGUUAGGUAAGCUGUUUAGGUUCAAGGGUGUUUCACUCACAUGGCUUCCUGGGGACUGCAUUUUCUGGGGUGUGCAGGGAGUUCUCCAUCAAAGCUUGAUGGAGCAGAAAAUGCGUGCGAAUGCUCCCAGCAGUACUCUGUUACAGCGUAAGAACCCUUGUAAAUAUUCACUACGCUAGAGGCUCGGUGCAUGAAAUGCGUGCACGGGUAGGGUCCCUAGGCCUGCCCAGCGAUCAGGGCCAAUCUGUGGGGCAACCAGCGGGGCGAUUGGGGCCCCCACUCGCACCUGCCUUGGCCUGGCAACGCCCGCUCACCUGCUCCACCAUUCCUGCCACAGCCCCGCUCUUGUCGAGGUCCAUUGGGGCUGGCAGCGCCUCCACUGCUGCCUGCUGCCAGCACCACUUUGCCAACGUCGGCCAUGUUCCAUGCUGCCCUGUGGUGGUCAGCGCACGCCUAACUCCUGGUCGGUUGAACUCCCAUCUGUGGGGACAAUUUGCAUAUUAGCCUUUUAUUAUAUAGGAUGUUACGUUAUUACACCAUUUGAACCAGGAAUAUUGAAAGGUCAGCCUAAUGCUCUCUCUGGAGGCGCGGUUUUGAAUAUAACCAAAUGGGAUAAUGGUCAGGAAUACCCAGAGUGGGCAAUGUAACACGUCGUCAAGAAUUAUGUUGCCCUGGACCUCAGUGGUGCUUGGCACUCGGCCUGGUGUUGGACACAGGUGGGCUCUCCCUGCCACCUGCCCACCCUCCUGGAGGCUGGCCUGUGGGCUGAGGGAGCGGAACCCAAGCCCUGCCCGCCCUGAAGCAGAUGAUGUUGGGAUGGUCUAGAAAGCUAUGGGUUUUGAAGUAAAUUCUUAAUGUUUCAUAUUGUUAAUAUCCGGAAAGUUUAUUAAAUGUUGUUGAGAGCCUUAUUACUAUUUUCAGAUCCUUUCAAUAAACAAACUUCUUUAAAAAAAAAAAUUAAAAAAAAAAAAGAAUUGUGCUGUGAGUUUUAAGUUUUCAGGACAACAAAGAUGCCAAUCCUAUCUAAUAAAAGAGAAACAUGUAGUGGAACGAUCCACCCCUUUUUACUUGCAAAGGGUGAACAGAAAGCUACUAUAUUUCUCUAGGACACUUACAAAGAGUUUUCUUCACCUGAAGAAGAAACUGGAUAAAAUGGAUGAAGAUGGGCCAUCUCUUAGAUUUUCUUCCAUCCGUUCCAUCUCGUCCCCUGUUGAAGGCAGGUGCUUCCGGUGCCUGGGACUUUGCUGGUGAUCGUUGCUGUGGAAGGAAAUGGAACAGGACAGGGCAGGGGCCUGCGUUGGGAGCAGAUCUGCAACCCCCAGCUGUUCAGAGCAGCAGACACUGCAGGGCCUUGUGCCAUAGGAGCACAUGUGCCCCCGUGUGUUGGGGGCGCCCCCAGUUCACAUGUGCAGUGCAUGUCUCGCUGUGGAUUUGAGAACCGUGCAAGCCGCCGUCCGGGAGGUGG